rnacentral:rRNA from 1 species
AAUAGAUACCCCGGUAGUCCACGCCGUAAACGAUGUCGACUUGGAGGUUGUUCCCUUGAGGAGUGACUUCCGGAGCUAACGCGUUAAGUCGACCGCCUGGGGAGUACGGCCGCAAGGUUAAAACUCAAAUGAAUUGACGGGGGCCCGCACAAGCGGUGGAGCAUGUGGUUUAAUUCGAUGCAACGCGAAGAACCUUACCUACUCUUGACAUCCAGAGAACUUAGCAGAGAUGCUUUGGUGCCUUCGGGAACUCUGAGACAGGUGCUGCAUGGCUGUCGUCAGCUCGUAUUGUGAAAUGUUGGGUUAAGUCCCGCAACGAGCGCAACCCUUAUCCUUUGUUGCCAGCGGUUCGGUCGGGAACUCAAAGGAGACUGCCAGUGAUAAACUGGAGGAAGGUGGGGAUGACGUCAAGUCAUCAUGGCCCUUACGAGUAGGGCUACACACGUGCUACAAUGGCGUAUACAAAGAGAAGCGACCUCGCGAGAGCAAGCGGACCUCAUAAAGUACGUCGUAGUCCGGAUUGGAGU